rnacentral:rRNA from 1 species
UACGUAGGGGGCUAGCGUUGUCCGGAUUUAUUGGGCGUAAAGAGCGUGUAGGCGGCUGGGUAGGUCGCUGUGAAAACUCGAGGCUCAACCUCGAGACGUCGGUCGGAAACCCUCCAGCUAGAGUCCGGAAGAGGAGAGUGGAAUUCCUGGUGUAGCGGUGAAAUGCGCAGAUAUCAGGAAGAACACCCGUGGCGAAGGCGGCUCUCGUGGGACGGUACUGACGCUGAGACGCGAAAGCGUGGGGAGCGAACAGG